ACAAUGCCUCCAAUAGAGCCAUCAUCUUCGUUUGAAUCGCCGAGGAAGUAGCGAUUUUUUUGACGAAUCCAUCCAGCAAAGCUCCAGAUUCAUCAUGGAGGACACUGGCGAUUACUCCCUCCGUGCUGCCGUCGACGAAAGUUCCAUCGAAAUUGAUCUUGAAGGACUGGCUGUUCGGUGGAUGCCAAUUCGGAGGUAAAGUUGCCUUAUCAGUGUCAAGUUUCAAACUUUUAGGGUUCCAUUUGCUGUAAUUUCUGACCAUAGCUUGCGUUAAAGCAAUUAGCGAUUGUGGGUCUGGGGAUUUACGCCGAAACACUAAAUCGUUCCUUGCUUUCCAUAUAAACUAGAGAAGAACUGCGAUUCUUUCAAAGGGUUUUUCCAAAUCUCGUACGUCCAAGGGCACAACAAGAGGAGGUGUUCCACAGUUUCUGCUUCUCGAUUGCAAAAGGGGCAAGCUGGCUGAGGAACAUACCUCGAAGAACUCCAAUCACCUCAGACCACUACAGGGCAUAACCGAGAAGAAGGAAGCCUGGGAGCAUGUAUCUUGCUUGCUGACUUUCACCCAUUUCCUUUUCUGUAUAGGCUGAAGCUUUGGAGAGGCAAAGGCGAGAAUAGAUGGUAAGAGAAGUAUCAAUGAGGGGGAGAUGCUUCGUUGGGGUACCGUAUGGUGAGAUGAUGUGGGUAAGGGUGUAUGGUGAGAUGAUGUGGGUAUGGGUGAAUCGUAAAAAGUAGUGAUGGAAGACAUGGAUUUAGGGUUUUUUAGGGUAAGCUCUCACCAUGGAUAGGGCAAGCUCUUACUAGAAGAGAGAGAAAGCUCUUACAAGAAGAGAGAAAGCUCCUACAGGAAGAGAGAAAGCUCUCGAGACAUAUUUUAACAGGCGUAAUGUAUACCAAAAUGCCUCUGCAUUGUCAGAUUUGGUGGGACGGAUAACGCAGUUAUCU